rnacentral:rRNA from 1 species
GCGGUGGAGCAUGUGGUUUAAUUCGACGCAACGCGAAGAACCUUACCAGGGUUUGACAUCCCUGACAGACUAUGAAAGUAGGACUUUUGCCUUCGGGCAGACAGGGAGACAGGUGGUGCAUGGUUGUCGUCAGCUCGUGUCGUGAGAUGUUGGGUUAAGUCCCGCAACGAGCGCAACCCCUACGUUUAGUUGCCAGCGGUUAAAGCCGGGCACUCUAGACGAACUGCCGUUGACAAAACGGAGGAAGGUGGGAUGACGUCAAAUCAUCAUGCCCUUUAUAUCCUGGGCUACACACGUGCUACAAUGGCCGGUACAGACGGAAGCAAAGCCGCGAGGUGGAGCGAAUCCUAAAAAGCCGGUCUCAGUUCGGAUUGCAGGCUGCAAUUCGCCUGCAUGAAGUCGGAAUCGCUAGUAAUCGCAGGUCAGCAUACUGCGGUGAAUACGUUCCCGGGCCUU